rnacentral:sRNA from 2 species
AUGAAUGAUAUGCUGAAUUCCCGAACAGGGAAACGGGGGAACCAAUCGGUAAAGAACGAAUCGGUUUCUUACUUACCACGGGGUGAAUCACCAGACGGACAACCGUUUGGGGUAGGGCUUCUCUCUAGUCCGAAUCCGACAGCUAACCUCGUAAGCAAACAAAGGAGAACAU